rnacentral:rRNA from 1 species
AUUGAACGCUGGCGGCAGGCCUAACACAUGCAAGUCGAGCGGAUGAAGGGAGCUUGCUCCUGGAUUCAGCGGCGGACGGGUGAGUAAUGCCUAGGAAUCUGCCUGGUAAUGGGGGAUAACGUCCGGAAACGGGCGCUAAUACCGCAUACGUCCUGAGGGAGAAAGUGGGGGAUCUUCGGACCUCACGCUAUCAGAUGAGCCUAGGUCGGAUUAGCUAGUUGGUGGGGUAAAGGCCUACCAAGGCGACGAUCCGUAACUGGUCUGAGAGGAUGAUCAGUCACACUGGAACUGAGACACGGUCCAGACUCCUACGGGAGGCAGCAGUGGGGAAUAUUGGACAAUGGGCGAAAGCCUGAUCCAGCCAUGCCGCGUGUGAAGAAGGUCUUCGGAUUGUAAAGCACUUUAAGUUGGGAGGAAGGGCAGUAAGUUAAUACCUUGCUGUUUUGACGUUACCAACAGAAUAAGCACCGGCUAACUUCGUG